GGCCAAGUGAGAAAUGCAUGAAUUCUAACCCAAAACUCCUGAGUUUCUGCCACAUGAAUUGCUGUUUCAGAAACUAGUUAUGAAUCAUUUGCAGCCCGACAUCAACUGAAAGACCAGUUAACUUAGUCCUUUAUCUGGAGUCUCCCAAUUCUAAUGUUUUCUUUUCUUUUUUUUUUUAAGAUUUUAUUUAUUUAUUUAUAGAGACACAGAGAGAGAAUGAGAGGCAGAGACACGGCAGAGGGAGAAGCAGGCUCCAUGCAGGGAGCCCAACGUGGGACUCGAUCCAGAGUCUCCAGGAUCACUCCCCGGGCUGCAGGAAGCGCUAAACCACUGCAUCACCGGGGCUGCCCUGGAGUCUCCCAAUUCUAAAUCAAUAAUUUAUGAGAUCCGCAUGCAACUAAGUUAUGUGAACCUGAUGCUCUGCCUCACAGCAAAGCCUUCACAGUGUUCUCAUUUAAGGCAGCAUAAUAAUGAAGUAGUUAAAAAUGACCCUGGAUCAACUUCCAGCUCUGACUAACACAUGUGGGCAUUGUAUCCUAUGACCAGGAGUACAAUUUGAGGCUUACAGAUUACCUGGAGUGCAUCCACUUUGGAGGUGUUGACUCCAUGGAUCUGGGUGGAACAGGAUUCUCAGACUUCAGGCAGCCCCUCAUUCUCCAGGACUUCGCAGGAGGCUUCCUGAUUUCAGCUGGAUUUGAACCAGGAGGCUGGAGAAGCUGGGAGCUGCCCUGGAUCCUAAGGAUGAAGCUUGCACAGAGAAAGGCAUCCCUGUUGGCGCUGAUUCAUUUUCAUUUGCAUUCUCAAACUCUUCAAUUAGAAAUGCACCGUGAUCCAGCAGACAGUUUUCCUUCCCUCCGCCACAGUGCCGCGUCGCGGUGUGUGCGAGCUUUAGGGGCCCUGUCUGCCUCUGAAUGUCUCAUUUAUAAAAUGAAAAUCCUCUUGGUCUUGAUGCACAUUGGAAUUUUUAUGAACUUCUGCAAAGAGGCUGGCUUGCUAUUUUUUUUUUCAUUUUUGUAAAGUCAGUAUUGUUUUUUAGUGACUUUUUUGUGGGUGGACUUAAAGUUGCAUUUGUUUUCCUUUUUUUUUUUUCAUUUUUAACCAGUGCGUAGGGGAUAUGGCCUGGGCAUCCAACACAGUUUAGGGGCCCUUGGGUGACAAAGUUAAUGGUGAGAUCUCCUUCUCCCGGAAAAUUGACACUGGGGUGAUACUGUGAACUCACAUAUGCUCACUCCCCUUAGCCCAUGUCCCUGGCAGCCACUGAUCCAUCCAUGCUCCAAGUCUGACAUUUUUAGACUAUUACAUAAAUGGUAUCUUUGUGUUUUUGACUCUAGUUUGUGGUUAUGCCUGUUUUCCCAUUUAUGCCCACUUAUUUUCAAACUAUUCUUAACCCUACUUUUACA
rnacentral:lncRNA from 1 species